GCCUGGGUGGCUCAGUAGGUUGAGCACCUGACUCGUGAUUUUGGGGUCAUGAGAUCGAGCCUCUUUUCGAGCU
rnacentral:tRNA from 1 species